rnacentral:rRNA from 1 species
CCUACGGGUGGCAGCAGUGGGGAAUAUUGGACAAUGGGCGAAAGCCUGAUCCAGCAAUGCCGCGUGUGUGAAGAAGGUCUUCGGAUUGUAAAGCACUUUCGACGGGGACGAUGAUGACGGUACCCGUAGAAGAAGCACCGGCUAACUCCGUGCCAGCAGCCGCGGUAAUACGGAGGGUGCAAGCGUUAAUCGGAAUUACUGGGCGUAAAGCGCGCGUAGGCGGAUAGAUAAGUCAGAGGUGAAAUCCCGGGGCUCAACCCCGGAAUUGCCUUUGAUACUGUUUAUCUUGAGUGCAGAAGAGGUAAGUGGAAUUCCGAGUGUAGAGGUGAAAUUCGUAGAUAUUGGGAAGAACACCGGUGGCGAAGGCGGCAACCUGGCUCGAUACUGACGCUGAGGCGCGAAAGCGUGGGGAGCAAACAGGAUUAGAUACCCUCGUAGUC